rnacentral:rRNA from 1 species
ACUCAAAUGAAUUGACGGGGACCCGCACAAGCGGUGGAGCAUGUGGUUUAAUUCGACAAUAAGCGAGGAACCUUACCUGGGCUUGAAAUUUAGCUGCAAGCCGCCGGAAACGGUGGCCGCCUUCGAGGGUGCUAAGUAGGUGCUGCAUGGUUGUCGUCAGCUCGUGGCGUGAGCUGUUCCCUUAAGUGGGGUAACGAGCGCAACCCCUAUCCCGUGUUACUAUGUCACGGGAGACUGCCCUCGUAAGAGGGAGGAGGGUGGGGAUGACGUCAAAUCAGCAUGGCCCUUACGUCCAGGGCUACACACGUGCUACAAUGGUCGGUACAAUGGGCUGCCAAAUCGCAAGAUGGAGCAAAUCCCACAAAGCCGACCCCAGUUCGGAUUGCAGGCUGCAACUCGCCUGCAUGAAGUCGGAAUCGCUAGUAACGGCCAAUCAGCCACGUGGCCGUGAAUACGUUCUCGGGUCUUGUACACACCGCCCGU